GACGAAGUGGCCGAGUGGUUAAGGCGGUUGACUGCUAAUCAGUUUCCCUUGUGGAGCGUAGGUUCGAAUCCUGCCUUCGUCG